AACUAGCCAUAGCAGUAGGCACAUGACACAAAUUUUGCGUUUUAACAAAGUUGCAAGGCCGAGGUAUCAAAGUAGAAAGGCAUGUGCUGAUGCUGAACUGAGGCAGGCAUGGGCGUGGUUGGUUGCUGAGGAGGUUGACCUGUGAAUGGAGCAGUUCCGGCCAUGUGGCAGGUAUCCGCGUGGUACUGCACGGAUUGCGGCGUGGCAAAUUGUUGUCCUGGCGGUGGUAGGUUGUCCAACGAAGCAUUUGCAGAAAUCGGCAUUGGUCCCGCACUGCACGGAGAUCCGUAAGAGGCUCGAAAACGUCCGGCAAAAUCGGCGUAAUCGUCGAGUGAGAGGCAUCGUGUUGCAGUCCUGGUGGGUGUACAUCACCCACAACACAAUGCAUGUCGAUCACAAAAUCUGGCAUUAUGCUCUGGUACAAAGUCAUUGUUCGAAUGCUGUGUCGAUGUAAUUCACACGAAAAUAACCGACGCGGAGGUCGCGGACUCAGUAAAACGGCGAAAACAGAAGACAUUACAACUCAGGGUCACCAGUGAGGGAGAAGUUCGGGUUAGUUACACCAAACAACCCCCAUUUCGCAAUAGUUCAUUUAUUCACCCAAACACAAGCAAGGCUCACAAAGAACUGAACAUGACGGAACAGGCCAAAGAUAUGAAUUUUAUGAGAGUUACAUUUCAAUAUACUGCUGUGAUUUUUCUCUUAAACUCUUUGUCACUAUACUUUUUAU